rnacentral:ncRNA from 2 species
AUCUUAUCAAGAGUGGUGGAGGGACAGGCCCUAUGAAGCCCAGCAACCAAACCUUAUAGAAGGUUCAGGUGCUAAUUCCUACAAAACCGAUUGGUUUUGAAAGAUAAGAG